CGGAGGGUGCAAGCGUUAUCCGGAUUCACUGGGUUUAAAGGGAGCGCAGGCGGACUGGUAAGUCAGUGGUGAAAUACCUGAGCUUAACUCGGGAACUGCCAUUGAUACUAUCAGUCUUGAAUGUUGUUGAGGUUUGCGGAAUGGGUCAUGUAGCGGUGAAAUGCAUAGAUAUGACCCGGAACACCUAUUGCGAAGGCAGCAGGCUAAACAAUAUUGACGCUGAGGCUCGAAAGCGUGGGGAUCAAACAGGAUUAGAUACCCUGGUAGUCCACGCCCUAAACGAUGAUUACUCGACAUACGCGAUACACUGUGUGUGUCUGAGCGAAAGCAUUAAGUAAUCCACCUGGGAAGUACGACCGCAAGGUUG
rnacentral:rRNA from 1 species